rnacentral:rRNA from 1 species
CCCGCCCUCGUGAACCUGGAAUCCCUAGUAAUCGCGCGUCAUCAUCGCGCGGUGAAUACGUCCCUGCUCCUUGCACACACCGCCCGUCGCUCCACCCGAGUGGGGUCUGGGUGAGGCGUGGUCGUGUUGGCUGCGUCGAACCUAGGCUCUGCGAGGGGGGAGAAGUCGUAACAAGGUAGCCGUAGGGGAACCUGCGGCUGGAUCACCUCCUUU